rnacentral:lncRNA from 1 species
GGGACCCUCCCUGGGAACACUCACAGCAACACCGGGAGGCCUGGGACCCUGUGAGUGGCUGAGAGCCUCCCUGGGAGGAACUGGGGUGCCUGAGGAUCUAUGGGAGCAAACAUCAAUCUCCAGGUGACCAGGGAAUGCCAUGCAGCCCAGGCCCCUUCCAGGCUCCUGCCUGUCCUGUCCUAGCCCCAGGGGAAUGGCCAUUCUGGUGUCCAAGGGCAAUGGCCUAUGCUUUGUGCAUACCCAGUCUACUCCAUGUGUUCAGGCAACGCCAAGUCGAUGGAGAAUUCCAUCAACUGAACAUGAAGCCACUUUCAGCUAAUGCCCAUCAGGGAUGGGAUUGAUGAGGCUGAAAUUUUUACUUGAUGGGCAACAAGUGCUUUCGUGGGCACGUGCUCGGCAGCUGAGCAAGGCAGCGAAGCUGGGCUGGGGGAGCUGGAGCCCUGACUCCAGGCUGACACCGCCCAGGCCUAGGAGUGGAGGCUGCCAGCGCUGACUUUCCAUCUCCUAACACCACUUGGCACUCCACGGCUGGUCACCCGAGGUUGCGAGGCAGGAGGCACAGCCGGCAGGCUUCAGGGCCCCGCUUUCAACUUCCAGGCCCCUUGAGGAAUUGGGAAUGUGACUAAGAGAUCAGGGCCUGCCCUGGUGAAGUGGGGGGAAACAGAGGUGUCCCCUGUUGCCCUUCCUGACUCAUGGGAUCCUUAUGACCCAGACCUGGAGGGAUCUCUAGGCCACCCAGGGAGCCUGCACCUACGGGAGCCGCCCUUACCCUGCGGUUCUACCAAGGAGCCCAGGGUUUCCUCCCUGGGAGGAACUAGGGUGCCUGGGAUCGACAGGAGCAAUCCUCAAUCUCCAGGUGACCAGGAAAUGCCAUGCACCCCAGCCCCUUCCAGGCUCCUGCCUGUCCCCUUCUAGCCCCAGGGGAAUGGCCAUUCUGGUGUCCAAGGGCAAUGGCCUAUGCUCUGUGCAUACCCAGUCUACUCCAUGUGUCCUGGGGCUUGGCCCUCUCCAUCGUCUUUCACAUAGACCUCUUCUGCCAACUAAUUGCAUUUCUUCUUGUCUGCUGCAUACCUUGAACUUGCCAUUGUCACCCGGGUAUGACCCCCUCUUACACUCACAAAUCUGCAGUCCGAGGCGAUGCUGUCCAGCCUGCUCUGCAUCUGCUCGCGGCCCCCAGGAGGAGGCGAGGGAGAAAGUCAAGAGCAGUCCUGUCC